ACAGCUUGAAUGUCCGCCUGCCCGCGACGGGCUGCACGCCGCGCAGCCCGCCAGGCAGCCCGCCGGGUUGCGCGGCGCGCGUGUGAACGUAGCAUAAGAUUGGCCGAUUGCGAUAAAAACCAUAGAAAGAAGAAUAAUAACCAUAACCUCAAAGUCGAAGUUUUGUUCAAAUGUCAUUUAGUUGUUCAAAUGUCAUUGUCAUUUACUUUGUUUGGAUUACACACAUCAUGCCGAAAAUCCCGAAUCUCCGUGCAUUUGGUAAACAUUGUCACAAUUGUGGAAAGUGGAUGGAGCGAAGGGCUCUUCGUAAAGAUGGUGUGUAGUAUUUUAGUAGUGACAUGCAAUUUUUGUAAUGGCAAAAUAUUUGCAAGAGAUGGCAAACAAAAGCAAAUGUGCA